GAUGAACGCUAGCGGCAGGCUUAAUACAUGCAAGUCGAGGGGCAUCAAGGUACACGAAAGUGUAUUGUUGGCGACCGGCGGACGGGUGAGUAAUAGGUAGGUAACCUACCUCAUACUGAGGCAUAGCUGGGAGAAAUUCCAGGUAAUUCCUCAUGAGGUUAUAUGACACAUGUGAUAUAAUCAAAGGUAUCGCAGGGUACUGGUAUGAGAUGGGCUUACUGACCAUUAGCCAGUUGGUGAGAUAAGAGCUCACCAAGGCGAAGAUGGUUAGGGGUUUUGAGAGAGAGAUCCCCCAAUUGGAACUGAGAUACGGUCCAGACUCCUACGGGAGGCAGCAGUAGGGAAUAUUGGGCAAUGGGCGGAAGCCUGACCCAGCCAUGCCGCGUGAAGGAAGACGGCCUUAUGGGUUGUAAACUUCUUUACUAUGCGACUAACUAGAUUUACGAGAUAAUUCUAUAGAAUGUAGCAUAGACAAAAGCACGGA
rnacentral:rRNA from 1 species